CGGCAUUUGGUUUCAAAAUAAAAGUGUUAUUGGAGAUUAUGACAAAAUCGGACAGUAACUUGUAUCUUCUACAAGAUUUGAAUUUGUAAUACUCAGUCUAAGACAUGUAGUUUUUGGAGCACAUUUUACAGUGUACGGUUCAUCAGUUUGGAAUGAGAUGUACCAAUCGGCAUUAGAAUAUCAGAACCCUUCGAUAUCGUUGAAAAUAUGCCGAGGCGAUGUGGUCGACAGGCUACCAGAGCCAAUCACCCUGCAAACACGCCAAAACAGUAUUGGAAAGUCUCAUUAUUUUUUGAGUAUGUUGAAAACAAAUGUACGAUCAACAAUGAACGACGACAGUUACUAGCAUUACUGCAUAUUCAUCGGCAUUUCAGUGUGAAUAUUGACAAUUAAAGCAAUAGAGAAGUUUGUUUCUGCCUAGACCCGAACAGCAGAUUUUGGACAAUUUUGAGUAAAUUCUGUAUCACAAAUAUGUGUUGUUUAUGUAUUACUCUAUUCAGAAGAUUUAUUAAUAGUUUUACAUUCAUAAUUUUUUUAUAUUAUAAGUCCUAUCUACAUAUAGCUCCUCUUUUAACCGUCCUAUGAGCGAAAACCGGAAAAGAAAACAUUUAUCUGCAUAAAGGGGUCCCAAAUUUUUUUCCGGUAGUUGCUUGCACAUUGUUUCUUUCUAGCUACGCCCCUGAUUAUCAUAAUUAACUAUGUCCAAAAGUGCCCGUUUAAAAUAGAUUUUAACACGCCAAGUUUACUUUACAAUAAAUAUAUAUUUAAAAUCUCGAAAGACAAUGUUCAGAUCCGUGCCAGUUUCUUUUCAUAAAUUGUUUGUUAAAAAAUAACCAAAAAAAACGGG
rnacentral:lncRNA from 1 species